rnacentral:rRNA from 1 species
GACGAACGCUGGCGGCGUGCUUAACACAUGCAAGUCGAGCGGUAAGGCCCUUUCGGGGGUACACGAGCGGCGAACGGGUGAGUAACACGUGGGUGACCUGCCCUCAGCUCUGGGAUAAGCCUGGGAAACCGGGUCUAAUACUGGAUAUGACUCCAUGACGCAUGUUGUGGGGUGGAAAGCCUUGUGCGGCUGAGGAUGGGCCCGCGGCCUAUCAGCUUGUUGGUGGGGUGAGGCCUACCAAGGCGACGACGGGUAGCCGCCUGAGAGGGCGACCGGCCACACUGGGACUGAGACACGGCCCAGACUCCUACGGGAGGCAGCAGUGGGGAAUCUUGCGC